CGUAAACGUCAUGCUUAACCUCUCUAAUAUUAUGCAAAUGACGGAAAGAAACGAGGAGGGAAUGGGGAUAGGCAGGGGAAAAAACCCUCUUUUUCCUUUUUCCCCCGCGCCCGCGUUUCUCACGGCUUGAUCGCUCUAAGAAACGUAAGGAAGACGCUAGGAAAAGAAAGUGACUGCUCGCAGACUACAGUUGGGCGGGAAGAUGAGAGACCCUGGGAACGAGUUUGAAGAAAUAGCACCACUCAGUUCAGUAAUAUACUAAAAUUGUUUCUAGCUACGGUCUAAGAAUCAUGCAGAAAGCGCGGAAUUAUCGCAUGCUAUUCAGGGCAAGUUGAAGAUGUCGUUCAUACAUGAAACAAACUAAGGAGAGAAACCUAUUGGCUGCUAAUGAGUCCAUUGUUGUUCUGGCUAUUCUCGGGGAUGCCGGUCGUACCUUUUAGGGGUAAAAAGAGGCGGUUUUGGUGCCUCUUAGUAUUUUUUUUGUAAUUGUCGUUUUAAAACUCUGCUGAUCAAUUCCCCUUUGGUUUUCCUUUGUGCAAUGUCUUGAAAACUAUUCGUGACCCUCUUGCUUCCUUGGCAGUCUGUACUCAUCGGAAACGUCGACCCGUUCAGGGAACCAAUCAAAAUUCUCGACCGCGCAGCGAAAACUAGAGCAAAAUUGACGGAGAAGAGGAUGGUGGGGCGAACUCGCCGGAACGCUAGCUACCCAGGCUACCCUGGUGAGUAGUGUGCGUGCUUCAGCCUGAGGUCGGCAAAAGAUAUAAGAAUAUGCAGAAUUGGUCUGAAAAAUGUAUAUAUUUUGUUCGCUAUAUAAAAAUCACGUUUAAAAAAAAUGUAUUAUCACUCUUUUCCCUAAUACGUUUGCACGGUUCUCAUGGAAAUAUGACCUGGGAGGCUCCCCACGGGACGCCCUGGCCAAGUGCGCGGCGAGACUGGGAACUGGUUUAGUUACUCCGGAUGAAAACGAAGCAGCGUUCUGCUGCAGCUGCUUUGAAAUUACCAUGGGGAACGAACUUAUUUUAAUACAUUAACUUCUGAUGACUGCGGCGACGUACAAAUAUUGGCAGAAAGUCACUCUUUUGUACUUAACUCUUUUCGCUUCCUGAUAAUCAAAGAAGCGAUGAUGAUUUGACACAAGAAGUUGUAUCCUCUAUGAACAGAGUUCUUAACUUUUUCAAGCGAGACUUCAAGAGUAUAAACUUGGAUGGAAUCUUUGGUCUACGCGUGGCACAAGGUUGGUACUGAUACUCUACAAUUACGCUGAAAUUUGAGUUUUGAACCAAACUCUUUAGUUCUGUUGAUACCUGAAACUCCGCUAAAAAAUUAAAUGCUGUGACGUGCAUUUCAACGGUUAAACCCAACCUAUUCGCCGACCGAGGGGUUUUUUAUAAGCUGUUCAUUUACUUAUCAGAAUAUUCGAUAUUCGAAAUCGGCAAACCACUCCAUUUAGCUCAAAUUUCGGUUCAGCUGUACGGAUUCUAAUGUCUAGCUUUUCAUGUAGUUUCUUUUAAUGGGGUUAACGUUUGA